rnacentral:rRNA from 1 species
UACAGAGGUCUCAAGCGUUGUUCGGAUUCAUUGGGCGUAAAGGGUGCGUAGGCGGCGCGGUAAGUCGGGUGUGAAAUCUCGGGGCUUAACUCCGAAACUGCAUUCGAUACUGCCGUGCUUGAGGACUGGAGAGGAGUCUGGAAUUUACGGUGUAGCGGUGAAAUGCGUUGAUAUUGUGAGGAACACUAGUGGCGAAGGCGAGACUCUGGACAGUUCCUGACGCUGAGGCACGAAGGCCAGGGGAGCAAACGGG